rnacentral:snRNA from 1 species
AACCUAUUUUUGCUUUUGUUUUG